rnacentral:rRNA from 1 species
AGCGAACGCUGGCGGCAUGCCUAACACAUGCAAGUCGAGCGCUCCCAGCAAUGGGGGAGCGGCGGACGGGUGAGUAACGCGUAGGAACGUAUCCUGAGGUGGGGGAGUAACCCUCGGGAAACGUAAGGGCUAAUACCGCAUGAUGGCGAGAGCCCAAAGAUUUAUCGCCUUGGGAGCGGCCUGCGUCUGAUUAGCUUGUUGGUGGGGUAACGGCCUACCAAGGCGAUGAUCAGUAGCUGGUCUGAGAGGAUGAUCAGCCACACUGGGACUGAGACACGGCCCAGACUCCUACGGGAGGCAGCAGUGGGGAAUAUUGGACAAUGGGCGAAAGCCUGAUCCAGCAAUGCCGCGUGGAUGAAGAAGGUCUUCGGAUUGUAAAGUCCUUUCGGCGGGGACGAUGAUGACGGUACCCGCAGAAGAAGCCCCGGCUAACUUCGUG